UACGGAGGGUGCGAGCGUUGUCCGGAAUCAUUGGGCGUAAAGGGCGCGUAGGUGGCCCGGUCAGUUCGUGGUGAAAUCCCGGGGCUCAACCCCGGGCCUGCAGUGGAUACGGGCAGACUAGAGGCAUUCAGGGGAGAACGGAAUUCCUGGUGUAGCGGUGAAAUGCGCAGAUAUCAGGAGGAACACCGGUGGCGAAGGCGGUUCUCUGGGAAUGUUCUGACGCUGAGGAGCGAAAGUGUGGGGAGCGAACAGG
rnacentral:rRNA from 1 species